GUGAAUGGAAUUUGCCCUUGAAAUAAUGCCCGCUGAGGAAAGUCCGCACACAUAAAAAAGGCUGCUCUUUAUCGAGUUCCAGAAAUGGAAGGCAACCACACAGAAACGACACGGUCCUUUGGUGUGAUGAUGUUAAUGAAGUUUCCAGCGAUGGGAAUGAGCUACAAACUGAAUAUAUCAAAGGAAUGCGAUGAAACGGUGAGCCCCGGCUUGUGCAAGUCUUUACGACGCAAAGUCGAAUGUCAGAGAACCUUUCUUCGAAGAAAUGUUCAUGAAAGAACGGGAUUUGAAGAGGUUUAACAGAAUGCGGCUUACUGUUGCCUAC
rnacentral:RNase_P_RNA from 1 species